UACGUAGGUCCCGAGCGUUGUCCGGAUUUAUUGGGCGUAAAGCGAGCGCAGGUGGUUUAUUAAGUCUGGUGUAAAAGGCAGUGGCUCAACCAUUGUAUGCAUUGGAAACUGGUAGACUUGAGUGCAGGAGAGGAGAGUGGAAUUCCUGGUGUAGCGGUGAAAUGCAUAGAUAUCACGCAGAACUCCGAUUGCGAAGGCAGCAUACCGGCGCCCUACUGACGCUGAGGCACGAAAGCGUGGGUAUCGAACAGG
rnacentral:rRNA from 1 species